rnacentral:lncRNA from 1 species
UCCUUUGUAUCCCAUAAGAUAAUAUUGGUGUAAUGCACUACUGGAAGGCCGUAGGAAAUUAUCACUUCCCCGUUAAAGUAUCAUAAGAUAAAAACUUAUCAUUGUGGGGGAGGGGGGCGUCUGUGUCACUGGAUAGUGGCCGCAACGAGUAAUGAUAGCGUAAGGUCAUGUCCUCAGGAGGGGGUGGUGGUUGCGGGGGUGUGUAGGGGUGCAGGGGGUGGCAUUUCGGGCAGGGCAGGAGGUAAGGGUGGGAAGAGGGCGGCGGUCGCCCGUAGAUUAAGGAUUGGGUCCUGGAACAUAGGUACUCUGACGGGUAAGUCCAUCGAGUUAGCGAAGGUUCUCCAACAAAGAAGGGUUAACAUAGCGUGCGUCCAGGAGACUAGGUGGAAAGGGACUAGGGCGNNNN